AACUAUAGAAAAAUCACUCAACUACACUUGUGAUGCUGCUAGAGUAAUAAAUUCCAGAUAAGAUUUAAAGAGCUUAAGAAAGUCUUCAUUUAUGUAUUAUUAUUUUAUUAACUAAUAAUAUCAUAACAUUUCUUCAAGGCCUGCUUUUUCCACACAGAGCAGUGUGUUUAAGAUAGAAUUAAUCAGCCUCCCAUCAGUCAAGGACAUGCAAGUUGCCAGUCAGAUUGAAAUUAUGGAUGGAGUGGCCAAAACCAUGGAGUUUUUUCAAGUGCAAUAUUUGUGAGGGGUGAGCACCAUGUAGAUGUAGAUGCAACAUGAAAUGUAAGAUCCUGUCCUCCCUGAAAUCAGAAUAUAUAAAAAGCAUGUUUGGCUAUGCUUAUAAAUUGCUAUUAUCCUACAAGGUGCUUAUAGCACCUUAUAACCUUAGACAAGCAUGCUAUCUGCAGGGAGUUUCUUUCCCAUUUAUUAAGUUUAAUGAUGAAUAAGUAUCUGUUUGUUGGUCAUCUGAACAUUUUUCGAAUUUUCAAUCUCUCAAAUUCUCACUCAAAGUAUCCUCCCUGUAAAGCUUAUGAUAUUUAUACCAUACACUUUCAAAUUAAUUUCAAAGGGAAAUCCAUUGCAUCUGUCAAUUAAAAUGAGUAACGUACUGAGAUACUCAGUUUACACUCCAAUCGUCAAGUCAGAAAACGGCCUACAUGGAAGAUUGCAUCAGGUCCAUGCCCAAAAUCAAAAUGUUUGUUUCUCAUGCCAUGGACAUAAUUCCGGGAUGCAUUAUCACAUUCUAACAUCUUGAGGGAGAAUGAGGAGUCUAACAGGCAUAUAAUAUAUUAUCAUUAUAGGAAAGCUGACCCUAAUAUCAAAACUCAUCCCUAGGGAACCAACUUGGAGACAUGCCCCGGCCAUUUAUUCACAGUGACAGCUGAAAGGUACCAAUACUCGCGUGCCUUUUUUUUUUUUUUUUUCAAAUCUUUCGCAAUUCUUAAGUCAUAUCAGUCAUCUGUGCUAUAAAAAAAUUGACAUAGAAACUUAUCUUUAAACCACAUACAUUAUUCAGUAGAUCGAAAAGCUCCAACUUCUAUACGCAACCAACUCUUCAAUUCCAUUCAACUUGAUCAUUGUGCUAUGUCAAAUUUUUUCCCUUGGUGAUUACUUUAGAUUCAAGAGUAAUAAAAGAAAUAAAUUACAGAUAAAAAUCAACAAACACACGACAUUCCUCGACUUCAGUGUAGGGAUGCAUCAUUAUCUGGGAAGUGAGAAGUGAAGUGAAGUCACAUUAUCCACGAAAAAAUCUAAAUCCAGGCUUCAAAUUUCAAUAGUGAUAUGGCCCACCUUAAGGCAUGGCACCUAAUUUCUUUUACUUUAAUUAGUACAUUUUAUCAUUUGGAGUCUACUUCAAGGGUUUAACCAUUAAUCAAAUAAGAUACUUUCCCAAUACAAACUAGAUGCUUCAAAGCAUCUGCAACUUAUUGUUGGCACAAAAACUAGAAGUUCCUUCAGAAAUGGCAUGAACUUGAUAAAAUCAUUUAGAGAUGAUGAGUGGAUCGACAGUGUUGUAUGAGUAUUUCUUGAAUUGAUUGUGGGGCAUGAUUUCAUCAAUGCAAGCACAUUCUGCUGCAAACGAUUCGUGGUUUUGGUUGUAUAGGUGGAUUUAUUAAAAGGGCAUACAAUGUUUCUUGUUGAGAAUAUUGGGUGUUGAUGCAGGUUUUCUAUAAGACUUGCUGCUCUCAUGUGCUCUCAGAAUCUAAUUGCUCAGCGAAUUUCAUAAAUUAUUAAUUUAAUAUAAAAAAGCACAAAUUGUGGGAUCAAAAUUGAACGAGUUGUAGAGUUGAAAGUAAAAGCAUUACAACUAAUGUUUGGAAAUUGGGGGUUGAAGUAGUGUAAGUGAGUUUUAAAUGUUCGUUGCCAUUUAAUUAGUCGCCUUGCAUGUUUACUGAAUCAUGCUUCUACACGAGUAAUUUUGUGCUUAUCGGUAAGCAGUGGACCAUACACAUGAGACGAUACAAGUUUUAUGGUUAGUGGUUUGUACUUUGUACAUCCAUAAUUUAUUGCCUUUGGACAAUUGUCAUGUAAACGCCCCUGCCUGCCGUGAUUGUCAGACUUGUGAGGUACUUUUCUUAUGACUAAAUUGUGCACAGAACACAUUGAAAUCUGUUCUGUUUGUAUUGUCAAGAAUAGAAACAAAUAAAUGAGUUUGUGUUCUGUGAUAACCAACUUGGAUUUUGGUGGGCCGGGCUGCUUAACAGAGAAGCAGCCAACAAUGAAUUAUAUACGUUCAUUAUUUUACAGACAAUGGAGGUGGUGUUAGUUUGAUGCCCGUUCUUCGAGUAGUGUUCUGUAAAAUCAUAUUAUGAAUUUACGUUCGUUUAUUUGCGUGUUAUAAUUUGAAGUAAUUGUCUAAGGUUCCAUAAUUAUAUAGGAUGUCACAAAUUAUAUACUCGAUGGAUCGGGUAUAAUAAGACACAAUUUGUAAUGUGAUCAAAAUUAUGUCGUUCACAAUCGGUUCAUAAAGUUGAACACUUUAUGUUGAUAAGAUUGUAUUGUUUUUAUUAAAAUUUGUCUAGAUCUUGAAAUAGGAACAAUAAUGUGUUUCGAUGCACAUUGAACGGGACCGCGUAGAUAACUCAUUUGUAACCGUUUGAAAUGAGACUCUACUUGAUUAUCAAACAGGUCACCUAAAUCCUAAGUGAGUAAUGUACCUUUGAUUGCUAGUUCAAGUUCUUUGAGGUACCAAUGAGUGAAGUCUUAAAUAGAAAAUUGAUAUCGAUGUUUUGGGAAUCGGGCUGAAACAAUUAGAGAUCAUAUACUUAUAAUAUUGGAAUCCAUUAAUCAUUGAGAUAAGACAAUCGUUACUCUAAGGUAUUUUCCUAGGUAAAUUGAAUCCGAGCUCAGUAGGUCGACGAUGAGAUCGUUGGACUUUACAUUGUGAUUUGAUCAUAACGAAUUUGUCAUAUGAAAAUGGGACUUAGAGGGUAAUAUAUUUUGAAGGGCAAAACGAUCAUUUUGUCAGUUUCAACAUAUUGACGAUCAAAUGGGGGUUGACUUGUAGAACGAUAAUUAGAGGAUAUUGUUAUUGAAUCAUAAUUUGCUUCUAUAACUAUCACUCAACUCGAGAGUGCAAUCUCAAUUUUUUGGUAGAAUAAGUCGGGAUUAAUAGAUGUAUCUCAAUUGGUCAAGAGUUGACCCAAUUGAAAAUAUCUAUUGGAGUUUGGGUCAUGUGAGUCCGAUUAGGUCCCUCUCUUGGCUCCAAUAAAAGGUAUGUGACUUAAUUAGCCUACUACAAUAAAGUCCAAGAAAAUUUGUACAAUUUUCAAACCCUAAUAGGACAUAAUAAAUAUGCACUUUAUUGACAUAUUUUUAAUGAAAAUUAGGGUUAGCCAUUUUCACUUUCAUCAAAAAUGAAUUAUACCUAGUGGAGAAUAAGGGAGAAGAUUUAAAGGAGGAAACAAUUGGCUAAGUCAUUAAUAUCUCCUUCAAAAAGGUUAUCAUCUCCUCUUUCUAUGUGUGAGGAUUUUAUAAUUCAGUGAUCUCAAGGUCACUAAUAUUUUUAUUUACAUGAUUUUAAUCUUCAAAGAAAAAUUAAUUUUCUAUCGUGAUGAUUAAAAUUCAUUAACCAACAUGUGGAGGUGUGGAAAAAGUUGGUUUGACUGGCGGAGGCUGUGAAUUGAUAAAGAGUGAUGGAAAUUAUGAAAAUGGGGAAUGACAUGUUUCUAUCUCAGGAAUCCCACUUUUCCAUGUUUGAACUCUUUUUAACUUAUUAUUAUUGCUUAAACUCCACUCUAUUUUCCAUGUGCGACGAGUUUGUAUGUGGUAAUAAGAAUGUGUUAGAUCAACUUUUUCUCUGUAAAUAAAUGGUACACACUUUAUUAAUGGGUCAUUACCAGUAAAAAGCAGAAAAUAAAAUACUGAAUUGCUCCUUGUCCUCGCCUCUUUCUGCCUCUCUUUAUUUCCAUCUCUAUCACAUUCUUUACUCAAAUGUUCUAAAAAUUGGAAUAUCCAGACUUAUUUAUGUUUGUUAAUCCAGACUUAUUUAUGUAUGUUAUAGAUUUUUUGGAUAAAAUCAUUCUCAUUUCUCGUUGUAUUUAUUUUUAUUUUUAUUACUAACAAUUUAACUCACAAAUGUAAACCAUCAUACAUAACUCAAGAUAACAUGUACUCUGCCUGUUACAAAACGAACACAAGUUAUAUUCACAAUUUAGGGCCUCCUUUAUGUUUUUCCCUUUCUUUCUUAAUUUUACAUUUCAAUGAUUUCUGGGUACACAUUUAUUCAUUAUUCGUCUUCCAAUUCCAUGACUAUGUAUGUCAUACCAGAAAAUCUACUAUUAAACUACUGCAUAAAACUCGCCUUGACUUGAAUCAAACUGGUUUCUUGAUGUGGAUGAUGAUAUCAUACAGAUGGAUGGCGUAUAGAUGUAGUCUUAUGGUGUGUUUCUGACUCCGACUCCUACUCCAACUUCGGCUUCUAUCGACAAAGCUCGGUAUGCCGGAACUGAAAUUGAAUUCAUUUAGUAUUCCAUAAUAAGUGCACCUGUAGGAGCUCUGUGAGGGAUCCCCUUUCUCCUUUUUGCGUUUGUGUAAUUUGGAGGUGUUGAUGGCCCAUAGCUCUUUGUUUUGUUCCUAACAAUCAUGGAUUCUUCCUCCACCUCGGUGUGUAUUUUCUUGUUUUCGAAAUUCUUGGACGUCCCAACAAUCUGAACCAUUCAAUAUUACCAACCCAUUCAGUCACUAUAGUGGGAUAAGAAUCCCAAAAUAGCAUUUUCAUUGAUUUAACAUAUAAGGAAAACGAAUCAGAUUCCAAUUCUCUUGCUUUUUUGAUAAAAACGAAUGCUUGCCUGCCUUUGGUUCUCUUCUUGUUUUUAUAACAAAAAUUGACAUAAAGAUGACAGAUUAUAUCUAAGAAAUUUACAUACUAUACUAUGCAGUAAAAUGUGAGAAUAAGUACCUUGCAGGCAAGGGAGCAAUAAGCGAAGGAAUCGACAAGGGUUCGGUGACAG
rnacentral:lncRNA from 1 species